rnacentral:rRNA from 1 species
UGACCUCAAAUCAGGUAGGACUACCCGCUGAACUUAAGCAUAUCAAUAAGCGGAGGAAAAGAAACUAACAAGGAUUCCCCUAGUAACUGCGAGUGAAGCGGGAAAAGCUCAAAUUUAAAAUCUGGCGGUCUUAUGGCCGUCCGAGUUGUAAUCUGGAGAAGUGUUUUCCGCGUCGGACCGUGUACAAGUCUCCUGGAACGGAGCGUCAUAGAGGGUGAGAAUCCCGUCCAUGACACGGACCACCGAUGCUUUGUGAUACACUCUCGAAGAGUCGAGUUGUUUGGGAAUGCAGCUCAAAAUGGGUGGUAAAUUCCAUCUAAAGCUAAAUAUUGGCGAGAGACCGAUAGCGAACAAGUACCGUGAGGGAA